rnacentral:rRNA from 1 species
UACAGAGGGUGCGAGCGUUAAUCGGAAUUACUGGGCGUAAAGCGUGCGUAGACGGCUAUCUAAGUCGGGUGUGAAUGCCCCGGGCUCAACCUGGGAAUUGCAUUCGAGACUGAAUAGCUAGGGUGCGGUAGAGGGAAGCGGAAUUUCCGGUGUAGCGGUGAAAUGCGUAGAUAUCGGGAGGAACACCAGUGGCGAAGGCGAUCAUCUGGGGUUGUUCUGACACUGAGGAGCGAAAGCUAGGGGAGCAAACGGG